CCCGGUUGAUCCUACCAGAGUCAUAUGUUUGUCUCAAAGAUUGCCAUGCAUGUGGGCAUGAACUAUUUCAGACUGUGAAACCGCGAAUGGCUCAUUAAAUUAGUUAUAGUUUGUUUGAUGGUAAUGGCUACUCGGAUAACCUGAGUAAUUCUAGAGCUAAUACGCGCAAAAAACCCCACUUCCGAAGGGAUGCAUUUAUUAGAUAAAGGUUGACGGGCUUUGCCCGUCUGGCGAUGAUUCAUGAUAACUGACGGAUCGCGACGCCCUCGUGUCGGGCGACGAUCAUUCAAAUUUCUGCCCUAUCAACUUUCGAUGGUGGAUAGGGCCUACCAUGGUGGUGGCGACGGGUGAUUUGAGAAUUAGGGUUCGAUUCCUGAGAGGGAGCCCAGAAACGGCUACCACAUCCAAGGAGGGCAGCAGCGCAAAAUUACCCAAUCCCGACACCGGGAGGUAGUGACAAUAAAUAACAAUACCGGCUCUUCGAGUCCGGUAAUUGAAUGAGUACAAUCUAAAUCCUUUAACGAGGAUCCAUUGAGGGCAAGUCCGGGUGCCGCAGAAUGUAAUUCCAGCCCAAUAGCGAGAUAUUUAAGUUGUUGCAGUUAAAAAGCCUCUGUAGUUGGACUUUAGGACGGCCCAAAUCUCGCGGUGUGCAGUGUAAUUGUCCCAUCCUUUUGUCUGGCGAUGUGUUCGCCUUAAUCAAGGUCAUGUCGUCGUAUGUCCUGUUUUUUGAUGAAAUUAGAGUGCUUCAAAAGCAAGCCCACGCCUGGAUACAUUAGCAUGGGAUAACAUCACAGGAUUUCGGUCCCAUUGUGUUGGCCUUCGGAUCGGAGUAAUGAUUAAGAGGGAUGUACGGGUAUUCAGAUUUCAUAGUCGAGGUGAAAUUUUGGAUUUAUGAAAGACGCAACCAUCAAGAAAGCAUUUGCCAAGGAUGUUUUCAUUAAUCAAGAACAAAAGUUAGGGGCAAAAGACGAUCGAUAAUCAUUCCCUAGUCUCAACCAUAAACGGCGCCGACCGUGAUCAUGGAUGUUGCUCUUUAGGACUUUUUUUGACUUUACGAGAAAUCAAAGUCUUUGGGUUCCGGGAGUAUGGUCGCAAUCGAAACUUAAAGGAAUUACGGGAAGGGCACCACUGAUGAGGGAGCCCGCGGCUUGAUUUGACCAAGACGGGAAACUUACCAGGUCCGCAGACAUAUCAAGGAUCACAGACCGAGAGCUCUUCUUUGAUUCUAUGGGUGGUGGUGCAUGGGCCGCUCUUAGUUGGUGGAGCGAUUUGUCCGGUUAAUUCCGAGUAAUCCAGCAAGACCUCACUUACUAAUCUAGUUACGCUGAGGCAUCCCUCCGCUGCCAGCUUCUUAGAGGGACUAUGGCCGCUUAGGCCACUGGAAGUUUGAGGCAAUAACAGGUCCGUGGAUGCCCUUAGAUGUUCCGGGCACGCUUCCGCUACACCGAUGUAUUCAACGAAGUCUAUAGCCUGGGCCGACAGCCCCGUAAUCUUUGAAAAUUUCAUCGAUGGGAUAGAUCAUUGCAAUUGUUGGUCUUCAACGAGGAAUUCUUAGUAAGCGCUGAGUCAUCACCGCUGACUACGCCCCUGCCCUUUGUACACACCGCCGCCGCUCCUACCGAUUGAAUGGUCCGAGAAGUGUUCGAUCGAGGCGACGGGCGGUUCCGCCGCCCGACGCCAAGUAGAAGUCCACCUGAACCUUUAUCAUUUAGAGGAAGGAGAAGUCGUAAAUAAGGUUUCCGUGAGGGUGAACCUGCGGAAG
rnacentral:rRNA from 1 species